rnacentral:rRNA from 1 species
CUACGUGCCAGCAGCCGCGGUAAUACGUAGGGCGCGAGCGUUGUCCGGAAUUAUUGGGUUUAAAGGGUGCGUAGGCGGCCUGUUAAGUCAGCGGUGAAAUCUAGGAGCUUAACUCCUAAAUUGCCAUUGAUACUGGCGGGCUUGAGUGUAGAUGAGGUAGGCGGAAUGCGUGGUGUAGCGGUGGAAUGCAUAGAUAUCACGCAGAACUCCGAUUGCGAAGGCAGCUUACUAAGGUACAACUGACGCUGAAGCACGAAAGCGUGGGUAUCAAACAGGAUUAGAUACCCUGGUAGUCCACGCAGUAAACGAUGAUAACUGGGCGUAUGCGAUAUACAGUAUGCUCCUAAGCGAAAGCGUUAAGUUAUCCACCUGGGGAGUACGCCGGCAACGGUGAAACUCAAAGGAAUUGACGGGGGCCCGCACAAGCGGAGGAACAUGUGGUUUAAUUCGAUGAUACGCGAGGAACCUUACCCGGGAUUGAA